rnacentral:rRNA from 1 species
AGUGAACGCUGGCGGUAGGCCUAACACAUGCAAGUCGAACGGCAGCACAGUAAGAGCUUGCUCUUACGGGUGGCGAGUGGCGGACGGGUGAGGAAUACAUCGGAAUCUACUUUUUCGUGGGGGAUAACGUAGGGAAACUUACGCUAAUACCGCAUACGACCUACGGGUGAAAGCAGGGGAUCUUCGGACCUUGCGCGAUUGAAUGAGCCGAUGUCGGAUUAGCUAGUUGGCGGGGUAAAGGCCCACCAAGGCGACGAUCCGUAGCUGGUCUGAGAGGAUGAUCAGCCACACUGGAACUGAGACACGGUCCAGACGCCUACGGGAGGCAGCAGUGGGGAAUAUUGGACAAUGGGCGCAAGCCUGAUCCAGCCAUACCGCGUGGGUGAAGAAGGCCUUCGGGUUGUAAAGCCCUUUGUUGGGAAAGAAAAGCAGCAGGUUAAUACCCCGCUGUUCUGACGGUACCCAAAGAAUAAGCACCGGCUAACUUCGUG